ACUCCUACGGGAGGCAGCAGUGGGGAAUAUUGCACAAUGGGCGCAAGCCUGAUGCAGCCAUGCCGCGUGUGUGAAGAAGGCCUUCGGGUUGUAAAGCACUUUCAGUUGUGAGGAAGGUGGUGUCGUUAAUAGCGGCAUCAUUUGACGUUAGCAACAGAAGAAGCACCGGCUAACUCCGUGCCAGCAGCCGCGGUAAUACGGAGGUGCGAGCGUUAAUCGGAAUUACUGGGCGUAAAGCGCAUGCAGGUGGUUUGUUAAGUCAGAUGUGAAAGCCCGGGGCUCAACCUCGGAACUGCAUUUGAAACUGGCAGACUAGAGUACUGUAGAGGGGGGUAGAAUUUCAGGUGUAGCGGUGAAAUGCGUAGAGAUCUGAAGGAAUACCGGUGGCGAAGGCGGCCCCCUGGACAGAUACUGACACUCAGAUGCGAAAGCGUGGGGAGCAAACAGGAUUAGAUACCCU
rnacentral:rRNA from 1 species